GCAAAAGCGUGGCCAGGAGUCGGGGGAAGACGGGGGGGGUAAGAGUUAUCCGGAUUUAUUUGGUUGUAAGGGUCCUGAGGCGGACUUUUAAGUUAGGGGUGAAAGCCUGUCGAUUAACGAGAGAACUGCCAUUGAUACUGUAAGUCUUGAGUAUAGUUGAGGUAGCUGGAAUAAGUAGUGUAGCGGUGAAAUGCAUAGAUAUUACUUAGAACACCAAUUGCGAAGGCAGGUUACCAAGAUAUAACUGACGCUGAGGGACGAAAGCGUGGGGAGCGAACAGGAUUAGAUACCCGGGUAGUC
rnacentral:rRNA from 1 species